rnacentral:rRNA from 1 species
UUCCAGACUCCUACGGGAGGCAGCAGUGGGGGAUAUUGCACAAUGGGGGGAACCCUGAUGCAGCGACGCCGCGUGGGUGAAGAAGCGCCUCGGCGCGUAAAGCCCUGUCAGCAGGGAAGAAAAUGACGGUACCUGAAGAAGAAGCCCCGGCUAACUACGUGCCAGCAGCCGCGGUAAUACGUAGGGGGCAAGCGUUAUCCGGAUUUACUGGGUGUAAAGGGAGCGUAGACGGCAUGGCAAGUCAGAUGUGAAAGCCCGGGGCUCAACCCCGGGACUGCAUUUGAAACUGUCAGGCUGGAGUGCAGGAGAGGUAAGUGGAAUUCCUAGUGUAGCGGUGAAAUGCGUAGAUAUUAGGAGGAACACCAGUGGCGAAGGCGGUCUGCUGGACAGCAACUGACGCUGAGGCGCGAAAGCGUGGGGAGCAAACAGGAUUAGAUACCCGUGUA